rnacentral:rRNA from 1 species
CACGCCGUAAACGAUGGAUGCUAGCCGUUAGGCAGCUUGCUGCUUAGUGGCGCAGCUAACGCUUUAAGCAUCCCGCCUGGGGAGUNACGCGCAGAACCUUACCAGCUUUUGACAUGUCCUGGACGGUUACCAGAGAUGGUUUCUUCUCUUCGGAGCCGGGAACACAGGUGC